ensembl:misc_RNA 7SK 7SK RNA
UCAUGUGAAGGUGAUCUGGCUUCAUCAUUGCCACCCACUGAUCACCAGAGUUGAUUCAGCUGAUGUCUGGCUACACGGCUGUCCCCUUUCUCCACUGUUCCACGUGUAGCCCUCCUCAAGUUGAAAACUUGGUUGAAGAGGAUGACCUUCCCUGAUAGGAGAGGACCAUUCUUUAAUAAAGAUGUGCAAGUAGCUGUGUAAGCUCUCAAGGUAAAGGUGUCUCCUGCACUCAGUCUUAUAGUCAGUCACUGCAAAUAGCAAGAAGCCUAAUU